GGGUCUUGUUGGUGGACAAGUUGGUUUAGUUGGCGGACAUGUGGGCUUUGUUGGUGGACAUGUCGGUUUUGUUGGUGGACAAGUUGGUUUCGUUGGAGGACAUGUUGGUUUCGUUGGUGGACAUGUGGGUUUAGUAGGAGGACAUGUGGGUCUUGUUGGUGGACAAGUUGGUUUCGUUGGUGGACAUGUGGGCUUUGUUGGUGGACAAGUUGGUUUAGUUGGUGGACAAGUUGGUUUCGUUGGUGGACAUGUGGGCUUUGUUGGUGGACAUGUCGGUUUUGUUGGUGGACAAGUUGUU